GAUGAACGCUGGCGGCGUGCUUAACACAUGCAAGUCGAACGGAAAGGCUCCUGCUUGCAGGGGUACUCGAGUGGCGAACGGGUGAGUAACACGUGGGUGAUCUGCCCUGCACUUCGGGAUAAGCCUGGGAAACUGGGUCUAAUACCGGAUAGGACGAUGGUUUGGAUGCCAUUGUGGAAAGUUUUUCGGUGUGGGAUGAGCUCGCGGCCUAUCAGCUUGUUGGUGGGGUAAUGGCCUACCAAGGCGUCGACGGGUAGCCGGCCUGAGAGGUUGUACGGCCACAUUGGGACUGAGAUACGGCCCAGACUCCUACGGGAGGCAGCAGUGGGGAAUAUUGCACAAUGGGCGCAAGCCUGAUGCAGCGACGCCGCGUGGGGGAUGACGGCCUUCGGGUUGUAAACUCCUUUCGCUAGGGACGAAGCGCAAGUGACGGUACCUGGAGAAGAAGCACCGGCUAACUACGUG
rnacentral:rRNA from 1 species